rnacentral:lncRNA from 1 species
UAAAUUUGUCUCUCUGAUGAAGGUGAUAUCGCAAUACCCAAAAAAGGAUAUCACAAUAUCACGGGCAGUGUUGAACUUGAGGGUCUUCCUUGAGAGGUGGAUAUCGUGAUACCCAAAAAAGAGGUAGCAAUACCAUUGAAUGGCCUCAUUAAUCUUCUAUAAUGCUGGAGGUAUCGCGAUUCACUACAGCAAAAUAGGUUUUUA